rnacentral:ncRNA from 1 species
UGGUCCUAACCCUAAAGUCAACUCGUAUUCAACUUACACAUGCAAGUUUCAGCACCCCCGUGAGAACGCCCUAAACCUCCUAUUUGGAGGAAGGAGCUGGUAUCAGGCACACUAUAUAGCCCAAAACACCUAGCUACGCCACAUCCUCAAGGAACCCUCAGCAGUGACCAGUAUUGAAAAUAUGCGACAGCAAGAUUCAGUUAGAGUACAGAGAGCCGGCAAAAUUGGUGCCAGCCGCCGCGGUUACACCAAUAGACUCUAGUUGACCCUAUCGGCGUAAAGCGUGAUUAAAGUUUUUCCCCCAUUAAAGAUGAAAUCCUCACUAAGCUGUGACACGCUUGUGCAUGAGAAAGCCAGAAACGAAAGUUACUUUAAUUUAACCCACUUGAAUUCACGACAGUUAAGACACAAACUGGGAUUAGAUACCCCACUAUGCUUAAUCGUAAACUUUAAAUUACAACAUAAACGCCAGAGAACUACGAGCAAAGCUUAAAACUCAAAGGACUUGACGGUACCCCACAUCCACCUAGAGGAGCCUGUCCUAUAAUCGAUAACCCCCGCUUUACCUCACCAUUUUUAGUUAGUCAGUCUGUAUACCUCCGUCGUCAGCUUACCACGUGAGCGAACCAUAGUAAGCCUAAUGCCAAUGCGCCAAUACGUCAGGUCAAGGUGCAACUAAAAAAAUGUGGAAGAGAUGGGCUACACUCUCUAAUUUAGAAAACACGAAAAACUUUAUGAAAUCUAGUUAGAAGGCGGAUUUAGCAGUAAAAAGAAACUAGAGAGUUCUUUUUAAUACGGCACUGGGGUGUGUACACACCGCCCGUCACCCUCUUCAAGACCCUAACUUCAUAGUAUCUAACUAAUUCCCUACUUUAAGAAGAGGUAAGUCGUAACAUGGUAAGUAUACCGGAAGGUGUGCUUGGAAA